CUCAUUUACUUCCAUGCUCAGGUCAUGUGAUGGCAGCUUAAAGAUCACUGGGACGGAUGGUGAAGCUCCUACUUUAGGUGGCGCUGGUUCGGCAGCAGGAAGAUUAAAAGCCAGCCGGGAAAAUCUCUCUGCGGUGAGAACAUUCUGCAUUCGCCACCGGUGACUUCAUCCUGGCCGGACCUUUCCGUGACGAUCAGGCGUGGUGAAGCAGCGCCUCCAUGUGACUCCCUCUGCCGGGUCCCAGCAGGGGGCUGCCGAGGCCCCGCCCACCCGACUCGGUUCCAGCCAAUCAGGUGCUAAUGUUGGGGAACAGGAGAGGGCUGCGCUGACAGAUGGCGGACUGACCUGGAAAACCUGCCCCCUUUUUCAGGGUUCAGCAGCCGGCAGAUGACAGAGGGACGUCGCCGCGUGUGUUGGAAAUCUAUUUUCCACUUCAGCUCGACACCUGAGGGACGAAUCUGCAGGUGAGGCGGGCGGCGGUCGGGCCAAAGCGAAGGGGAAGCGAAAAAUCCUCCCGCACCCCUCGCCCGUUCCUCCGUCUCCACAUUGUUAUUUGUCCAUUUCAAAUUAUUGAUCUUUUACAAAUAUUUUUCAAGGUAUCUUAAUUACUCGCAAAAGAAGCGGCGCCUUGGCCGGCGGACAACACAAAUAAGUUAAUUUGCAUUUCUGUGUUGUGAGUGUUUUGGCAGGCGCCGCGCCGGUCCAGAUUGUAACCCCUAUUUCUGCCUCCAAAAACCUGCCUUGGAGGAGCGUCCACGGAGGGAUUAGGGAUUUAGUGGGGAAGGUAAGUGUGACUACAAGCUUUGGCUCGCCAUCUGCUCCCCAGCAGAGUUGAGGCCAACCUGUGCAGCCUGCAGCAAAGACCUGGGCACUGUGCUAACUCUGGCUCGAGCCAACCUGGCGCCCGCGGCCCCAAUCACCAACAGUCUGCUGAUUAGUUGUAAGAAGCACUCCAUAUGUAGCAAAGUUUUUUUUUUCCUCCUCCUCUCUUUCUGUCUGUCUCCUUCCCUUCCUUCCUCUCCUCCUUAUGUAUUCUCUCAUUAAAUAAAUAUGGAUGUAUGGAAUCUUUUUUUUUUUUUUCAAAUUGCCUUCGGUUGUCUGGCAAAGCAACUCCCUCUCACCUCUGACAGAAUACCAAGCCAGGGAAGAGAAAAAGAAGAUGAAGAAGCACAAAUCCUGGCUGUCCUCCUCUUCUUCUUCUUCUUCUUCUUUUUCCUUCCCUCCCCGGCUCUCUUUUUGCCUGGCAGCGCCGGGAGACAGAUGACAGGGGUUUGUGGCCGUCUGAUCACCCCUGGGUGGGUAUUUUCUAAUUUAUUUAACGGCAGCUUAUUAAAGAAAAAACAAGAUGAAGAAGAAGAGGAGGAGGAAGGAGAAUAAAGAACACGGGAGGAAGAAGGCAGGUCUCUCGCCCCGGCGGCCAGCGGAGUGAACCCAGCCAAGGAAGAACCAACGAAGAAGAAGAAGAAGAUGAGGAGGAGGAGGAGGAGGAUGCAGCGACUCCCUUGGUGGAGAUACCCGAGAAGAUCAAACGACUCCGGAGGAGUCACAGGGAAAGAAAAGGAGGGAAAAAACACAAGAAACAUAAUGCUCAUUAUUAAAUUGCAGCCAUUGCCGUUGCCAGGAACCUAUUUCUCAGUAUUAAUUAUUCAUAUUUUAUUUCAGUAAUCCAAUACUCAGGUGAGAGCGGCGGCCUGUGAUAGAACAUGUAAUUUUGAAGCUUAAUGGCAGCGGGGCAGCCCGAGCGCUGGGAUUAGAAACAGAGUAUAAAUCACUAAUGGCUGCGUGGACGUACGGCGGCUUGAAUCCGUCUUGCUUUGUGUUUACUUGUGUUUUAUUGCGCAGAGAUGCUCCGAGGGAAACACUUGGCCACGACCUUUCUCCUGAACUCGCGACGGAGGGAAGGGUGGGGGACAAAUAAAAAAUCGCGCUUUCCAAGGCAAAAUAAGAUGGCGUAAUUUCCUGAUUUGUCUAAACAAAGAGUCCAUCAGCAUCCUGCUCGCUCUCUUUCUUCCUUUCUUUCUUUCUGUCUGGUUUGAAUAUACAAAAAGCGAGCAGAGGAGGAGGUCUGACAUAUUUGCAAAUGCACACAUGGCCUGAUUCGUACAAAUUAUGUUUUUCAAGCGGAAUAGCACCAUCACUUACUGCUGAUCCGAUUAGCUGGAUCCUGUUCCCCUCCUCAAAUUCAUCUUCUCGCCGAAAACACUUCAUGAUAAUAACAGUUUAUGGAGUUGCAGGAAUUUGGGGAAGCUUAUAAACAUACAGUGUUUUUGUCAGCUAACUGUAAAGGCCCCAGGCUGUGCUUUCUGUUUCUUUUUUUUUAUUUUAUGCUCCCACAUAAAUGUCUCUGUCAUCUGUUUUACCAUCACUCUCAGACUCACCAUCCAUAUUAUCUGAUGUGCAAAUAAUACACAAGCUUUGUCCAAAGACAGACAGAUAAAGUGUCCAAAAAUUCAUUUGUUUAAAGAAGAAAUAAUAAUAAUAAUAAGCUGAUAGCACUCCCAGCAGCUAGUUAGCUUAGCUUAGCAUAAAGUCUGGAAACAUGGAGAAACAGCUAGCCUCACUUUGUUUAAAGGCACGAAUAAUGAAAGUUGUGGUUUUAUAUGUUGGAGUUUUACGCUUCUUUUCUUGUUUGGGUUAAACAUCAAGAUGUAAUGUGAAUUUGAGGUUUCUUAAGGCGCUCGUAGGUGGAGUUUUGUCACUUUUGCUGUAGAGCUUUUGUGCACAUUGAGUAAGUUUGCAGCUACUAUAAAAGUCAGCACCUUUAAGUCUAUUGGGAACUGACUGGUUGAGUUUUUCAGGAACUUGUUGACAAUGUACAUUAAAAUAAAGCAUGGAAAUGGACAAACGAAUUAGUGUAGCAUCAGCAGUAAUGCAGGUGUUCAACUGGACCAUCAUGGUGAAUGCAGAGUUCUUUAUUUACCAGCUUAUUUACCAGUUUUGGUGUAAUUUUUUCUCGGAUUUAAAUACAGUAAAACACUGUAAUUUAUAGGUAAAACACUGUAAAAGAAUCAGUUACCAUUUUUCAGUUUUUGAUGUGGACAUUCUUGACAGUUUUUGUCUUUUGGGGGGUAAACAUUUAAAGUUAUUACUUGCAACUCAAAAUGAUCUUUAACUUAAUUUAAUUUUUCUGUAUUAUAACAGCAAAUUGUUCAGAAAAGGAUUGUUUUUUUUGCAGUGAAGGUAUCAGUCAAGAAAAUAUGCAGACUGUCAGACUAGAAAGGGGUCUAGCACAAGCAAAGGAUGGGAAGUUUUUUCUUUUUUAUUUUUUUUUUAGAAAAGAUAAGGAAAAUCAUGUUUCUGAAAUCUGAUUUACUUAGAUGCCUCUCAUUUAACAAACUGGCUACAAACACCUGAACUCCUGGUGAAUGUAGGCAUUUAGUAAACCUCCAGUAAAACUUUAAAACGUCAGGAUUCCUGACAGGUGGACUGCGUUUAGCCUCACAAGAAAAAGGCCAAUUAGGUCAGAGAAUUUGCACACAUCUUGCAUGCUCUCUGGUCUCCCGCAAUUUGGGCUCAAAAAAAAAAAAGUAAAGGUCAGCCACGUUAGUCAGAUUGCGCUCGACAAAUUCUAAAAAGGCUCGCUGGUCACGCUGAAUGUAUUCCCUGCAACAUAAUUAGCCCCUCAAUUCCCCGUCGUGCCAGGCUACCGGGUGUCUCCAAAAGCCCCACCCCUUCCCCCAAAAUGCCUUUCACCUCUGCUUGCUCUGCAGCGAUGCCCCUCUCCGCCACCUCCUUCCUCUCGCCGCCCUGUCACACAUUGUUGCUGCGCUAAACUUGCUGCAGAUGCGGUCGGCUGAUGCAUAAAUUAGUCAUCAACAUUAGCAUUAGCCGGCGCGUGGCACCCGGUGCCAACUGCUCUCCGAACGGCCAUAAAAGGUCAUGUUUUGAUGACUGAAUGCCACACAGGCACCUUGGCUCCCCGGAGGAGGGUUCCCCAGGUGCACGUGAAAGGUUAAAAAUUACCUUCCCGCCGCCGCCUGUCUGUGGCGAAGGAAAUAAUUAGGGGGUUUUUAGGGAGCGGCAGAAUGCCUCGCUGUCAGAUGACAGAGCGUUACCUAAUGGUCGUAUCUGGGGAAGAGUCAAGCGGCCUGUCAUUCUCUUGACAGGACAAAUGAGCAUAAUGGUGGCAGGGAAAUGGGCGCCUGUUCCCCCUUUUUUUUCUUUUUUUUUCCCAGCCAGGGAGGGAGGGAGGGAGGUAAAAUGGCAGCGCCUGAGCAGAAUAACACGAGGACGUUAACCUUUUACAUAAAUCUGUUAACACAUGUACGAGUGCUGUAAAAGUGAGGCUUGAUGCUCGGCGGCUGCAAGGUGGGACCAGACGUUUGUUUUCUCUCUUUUUUUUCCCCCCCUGCUGCUCGAAUUUGUUGGUUUAUAGUUUGAUUUUAUUGCUGCACCAAACAGGACUUCUGUCACGUAAACUUACAGCUGUCCCAGAGCUGCAGAUGAAGUUAAAAAACACAAGCGUGUGAGGAUAACGUAACAUAACAUUGAUGGGACACGUUAUUUUGAGGGCCAGGCAUCUCAUUUUUACCAUUCUGGUGACUUUAAUGCACCAAUUUGUGCCUUUUCUGCAUGUAUGUGGUGUUGUAUUUGCUCUUUUCAUGUCUCAGAGGGGAAAUGCUUCUGUUCUAAAUAUUGAGGGCCUGGGUUCCACCAGAUGAUGCAGAAUUCAUUUGUUUUAAAACCAAAAAUGGAAAAAAAACUUCAAAUUGUUACACUCAAAAUAUCCAACACCGUCCAUUUUUGUGUUUAGACAGUUUUAAAAGUUGAAAAUGGAAGUUAGUUGGAUUUUUUGUCCUUUAAUUUUAAACAAACAAAAUGAAAUCAUGUGGUCGAUUUGUUUUUGUUUCCAAGCUUAAAAAAAUGUUUCAUUUUGUCUAAAUGUCUAAAUCACAGGAACAACUUUGCCAUCUUCUCUACAUACGGUGAGAUUUUGCACAUUUAAAUUUGUAUAAAUCUGUAUAACCGUCCACCUUGAACAACAGUAAAUAUUUUCUUGCUUUUGCAUUUGGCUUGCUUUUUAAAAUCUUUCUUAUCUGUCAUUACUGUUGUGCACAAAGUCAAAUUUGUCAAGUGCAAAAACCUUAAAAAGUGUUUAAAAAGCUCUAUUGUUUUUCCAAACAAUAAAACUCACUUUAUCUUGUUGUUCAAUUAAAAUUAUGAAACAAAAAAGCUGAUAUGACCUCUGUUUUUGAGUUCCAAACACAAGAAAGAAUGGCCAAAAACUAAAAAUUGACAUUUUAUUUGUUUUUUGAUUGCAUUUUUUCCCGUUUUUGGUUUUGAAACAAAGAGCAGGAAUUUACUUGUUAGCCAGUGAUGGAGUUUUCACACAGCUCCGUGUUUGUAUACGAAUCAGCCGAAACUCCAUUCAUUUGGAUGAGAACCUUUCGUGAAAAUCCUUCUUCUGUUUCUUUCUGGACUAGAAAAAAAUUACUCAUGCAUGCAGAACAAUUCACAGGGAAAAUGUGUAAAUAUAUAUUUAUGAAGGAGGCAUGUUUAGCUAGCUAGCGUAAAGCAUGCUAGCAGUACAGAGAACACACAUCUUGCAGCGAAAUAUUCCACCAAAGUGACAUCCUGUCUUAGUUCUUGACAUGUUUUAUUGUUUCUGUUUUAAUGGCAGUAAUGCUCCAUGUACUAAUUGUCAGAAUUGAAUGGUAAAAAACCGAUGCAAUGUUGUUUCUGUGCAUCUUUAGUGAAAUACAUUUUGUUGUGUCAAAUGGCAUAGACUGAAUAUUACAGGGAUUUCAAUCAAAAUGCUGUUUGUGAAGAGGCUUUAACUGUUUUAUUUCUCACUUAAUAACUCAUCUAUUUGGUUAUUAGUACAAUUAAAGAAAGGCACUGCUGGGAUUCGAACCCAGGAUCUCCUGUUUACAAGACAGGCGCUUUAACCAACUAAGCCACAGCACCACAGCACUGUACUUCAACAGUGAGUAUCAUGGCCUCCCUUACUCCUCAUUUUGUUUAAUUUGCAUGAACAAUUUAACACUUUAUCUACAUUUAUCACUUUAGGAGUCUUUUGGCAAACACACCUGAGCUAAAGUUUGGCUGCAGCACCGAAUGAAUCAAGAAAUUAUUCAGGAUUUACACUGUGGUUGAGCCUCCCAAACACUAGGUGGCAGUAUUUUAGCUCAGUUGCCACCACUGAUUCCAUUAGUAGUUAUACACACACGAAGAAGAACCCAGGAAACGUUUGUGUCCAGAGAGCAUGGCAGCAGCUCACUGCAUGGUUGGUGAUGAAAAUGUUUGAAUAAAAUAUAAACAAGAAAAUGUGCAUUUUAGCUCCAGUUUUGCAGGACUUUCGUCCCUAAAGGUGUUUCUGUGAAUGAACCUCAAGUAGAAUCGAGGUAAGCAGCACCUGAACAUCAAACAUUUCACCAACAUGUGCAAAUGAAAUGUAAGAGCAAAGCAGUUACUGUACAGUGAGGAGGAGUGAUGUAAACCCACCUGUGGACACACCUUGUUUUUAAUCAGCAGGUACAUAAAUAAACAAACUCUGUUAAAUGGCUGCAACAGAAGGAAGCUUAGACUCAGUAAACUGACCAAGCUGUAGCUCAUUAGUACAUUCCAGACUGUAAAAUUACAUCAUUUUACCAUAAUUAAAUGCCUCAUUAUUUUCAGAAAUGUUAUUUAUAUUGAGCGUCUAUUCACCAACUGUUGAUUUUUACACACAAAUGGGAAAGUUUGUGUUUUAUUUUACAGCUGCAACUACCUGAGAGUAAAUUAAUCUGCACCUGUUGGAAUGGAAUAAUACUUUUUUUGGUCAUUUUACAGCAAAAAUAUCACAUCUAUGCUUUUUUCACCUUCUUUGCUUUGCAGAUUUGCUGCUUUUCUUUGUCAUAUUGAACAGAAACUUUACUUUUUUGACAUUUUAGACUGAUAUGAGAUGAAAUAACAGGUGAUUUGAAGUCAUUUUUCUUUGUAGUAAAUUUAAAAGGCAAUUUAACCCACCUUUUUUUAGCAGUUUUGAUUUGUGUUAAUGUUAUAAAUGCUGAUUCAUGUAACAUUUAAAGGGAUAAAUUUCGACACUGUUUACAUUGAAGUGAGAAAACUUGGAUGCAGUUGAAACUGUGAUUUGUAAUUAUUUACUACAACGGGCUGAUGUUUUCUUCAGGUUCAGUGUAAACAACAACAGUCAACACCAGUUUUUGAAAAGGAAAUAAAGUCAGAGCAACAAAAUCACGUAAAGAACCGACCGUCAGCUUCAUCACUUCUGUUUUACCAGAAAUCCACCUGAGACCCGAGGUUCCUCCACUGAGCAGCACUUCCGUCAGGACGGAUCGGCCGGCGUGAGGACGAACGUAAUUGGACCGACAAGUGACACAUAUGUGGAAACCAGAAGAUGAUGGCGGAGACGACUCGGAUCAUGUGACCUGCACCUCACAUGCCUCCUCCAAGUACCCUCAAGCCAGAGACCAGAAAUGCAACGAUGAAGCUGCCAAAUGAGAAUUCCUUCGUUCAUCUGCACAGCUGGAUCAUCCUCAAAUCAAAGGUUUGACACAGUGUGAUCUCCUCUUUCCUCGAGAUCCAACUGGGAAUAUUUAGUGAAACUCGGAAAGUUUGCUUCAACAGCAUCAAAGAAUCAAAUCAAGAGUUCAACAAUCUGACUUCAAAGAAGAAGAAGAUUUAAUGGAUGCAUCUCGUCCCGUCACCAGAUUUUGGGUGAGUGAAGUUUCACCUGAUUCAGCUUUUGUUGGCUGCAGCUGUUGGAGGUUAAAGGUCACGCUCAGACUAAAUCUGCUGCUCAGGUUUCUGCUGUUUCCUGGUGCUGUUCUGCCCUCUGCUGGCUGCUCGCUGGAAGUGCUGCAGCUGCACUCAGAAGAGCAGAUUUUCAUUUUAAAGCUGCACACUUUGGUUUUCUUUCAGCCUAUUUGUUGCAGAAUUUUGCAGUUUCUUUUCAUGCUUAUUAGUUUAUUUGCACCUCUUAUAGGUAAAAAAACAAACAAACAAACAAUUCACCGUGGGGCUCAUCAAACCACCUGAAAAAGACAAUUCAGAUAAUAAUCAUUUUGUUCAUAUUAUUGCUAUUUUUUCACCCCAGAUAGACAAAUUAAUUCAUCCAAUACUUCCCUGAGUAAAAAUGUUUUCACGAGAUACUGGAAAAACCUCAAAUUUCAGGAACAAAACAGUAUUUAGAUCAUUUAAUUAAGAAAAAGUAGCAGUAGCUCACUAUAAAAGUACUGUAAUACCAGCAAAAUCUAAGUAUUUGCAAUAAUAUGUGCUUGAUUCUUGUUGACGGAAUAGGAUACAUGUAGCUCUUAUAGAAUAAUUGACUAGGUUUUGUGUUAUUUUAGGAAAAAGACAGCAUCCAGAUCAUUAAAGCAAGUCAAAGUUGCAAUAGCACACUACAAAAGUCAUCAGUUACAAGUAAAAUCAAAGUAUCUGCAACAAAAUGUGCCAAUUGUAGUUUUAUAGAUUAUUAUAUUUGUCUUUGCUUUGUACUAGAUUGUGUUUUUUAGGAAGAAAACAGUAUUUAAAUCAAAUCGGUAGCAGCAGCACUACAGCCAGAAAAGUACUCCAUUACAAGUAAAACUCCUACAUUCCUAAUUUUACGAGAAUAAAUUAAAAUAAUUGCAACGAAAUGCACUUAAUUAUGAUUCCCAUUAGCCACAAUCUCAUCAGUUAUUGGUAUAUUUAACUAUAUUGCCUUUUAAAUGUGACUUAGGUGAAGCUUUUUUGAAGUAAAAAUCCUGCAUAAAAAAGUCCUACUAGAGUAAAACUCUCAGCAACAAAAUGUAAGAAUCAAGAAUCUUUAUUGUCAUUGUGUUUCCACACAGCGAAAUUACGAUUGGUGACUCCCAACUAUAGAUAAAGAUGAGAAAAAGGCACACUAUAUACAAAUAAAAUUUAAAAAAUACUGAAAAGAUAUAAAUAUGUAAACAGAGUUAGUGCACAUGAGCAGUAGGAUGAGUGUAAAGUGCAGUCCAGUGCAAGACUCAGUUCUUUAUUGCACAUAGUGUGUCUGUUGUGUGUGCAGGGGGGAAAUGGACGGCACUGAUCUGGGAUAGAAACAGUUUUUCAGUCUGGAGGGCAGAGUUUGUAUGUUGCUGUACCGUUUGCCCGAGGGAUGCGGAACAAACAGUCGAGGUGCCUUCCAGCUUGUCACCUAAACUGUAGGUGGCAUCACAGGCUUUGAGUAGGGGCUUCACUGUGCUAUCCAUCCAUGGUUUCUGGUUUGGGAAAACUUUGAUGGUCUUUGUAGGCAGGACAGCAUCAGUACAGAACUUCAGAUACUACAGAACCGAUGAUGUGUAUCCAUCUAGAUCUGUGCCUUCCUUGAACACUCCCCAGUCAGUGAACUCAAAGCAGUCCUGUAAUGCUGAGGAUGCCUCAUCGGUCCAUACCUGUACGGUUCUGGUGGUCGGUCUCUCCCUGCAGGUCAGAGGUUUAUAGGCUGGGAUCAGGUUCACAGAGAUGUGGUUAGUGAUGGUCCUCUGAUACCCGAGGCUUCCACACAUGCGCUGUAGCUCAUGAAGCAAACGUAUCGAGCCACCGUGCCGACGUGUGGUUUGGUCACGUGACUCGGUGACGUUUGAAUCACUUCAGUGACGUUUGAAGCACUCAACUGCUUCGAAUCACCUGAUUGGUUCGGUUUGUUAUGCGACUCACUGGGCGGGAUCGAGUGUGUUCCGGGUUAGUGUCGUUCAUUUCAAUGAUUUUAGGCAGAAUAGGUUGGUUUUGUUGCUGUCGUUAGUUGCUUUGACAGUUAGUAGUGUGUGUGUAUAUAUAUAUAUAUAUAUAUAUAUAUAUAUAUAUAUAUAUAUAUAGAGAGAGAGAGAGAGAGAGAGAGAGAGAGAGAGAGAGAGAGAGAGAGAGAGAGAUAGAGAUAGAUAGAUAGAUAGAUAGAUAGAUAGAUAGAUAGAUAGAUAGAGCUGCAGCAGGAGCCAAUCAAGAAAAGGUCCUGUCCAUGGUAUAAUUUCCAUUUGCUGCCAGAGUUCAAGGUCGCCGUGCAGCUAUUUCCAGCUCGUCUUCGCUUUGAUCCGUGUCUCAAAAUGACAAGGUAGCGCAACUCGGGGGGUCAGCUGUGUUACAGGAACGCUUCCACGGAUCGGCGGAGAGGAAAUCAAUCCUGCCUGACAGUGUCUUCAGGAUACUCCGACCUGACCGGACCGGCGCACAAACACACAGUUGUGUCCACAGACUUCAACAGCGACCCUCACUUCUCCAUCUUUGAUGCUGGCGCUGGCAUCGCCCUCAACGACCACUUUGUCAAGCUGGUUUCAUGGUACGACAACGAGUUUGGCUACAGCAACCGUGUCUGUGAU